rnacentral:rRNA from 1 species
GAUGAACGCUGGCUGCGUGCCUAAUACAUGCAAGUCGAGCGAACAGAUAAGGAGCUUGCUCCUUUGACGUUAGCGGCGGACGGGUGAGUAACACGUGGGUAACCUACCUAUAAGACUGGGAUAACUUCGGGAAACCGGAGCUAAUACCGGAUAAUAUUUCGAACCGCAUGGUUCGAUAGUGAAAGAUGGUUUUGCUAUCACUUAUAGAUGGACCCGCGCCGUAUUAGCUAGUUGGUAAGGUAACGGCUUACCAAGGCGACGAUACGUAGCCGACCUGAGAGGGUGAUCGGCCACACUGGAACUGAGACACGGUCCAGACUCCUACGGGAGGCAGCAGUAGGGAAUCUUCCGCAAUGGGCGAAAGCCUGACGGAGCAACGCCGCGUGAGUGAUGAAGGUCUUCGGAUCGUAAAACUCUGUUAUUAGGGAAGAACAUACGUGUAAGUAACUGUGCACGUCUUGACGGUACCUAAUCAGAAAGCCACGGCUAACUACGUGCCAGCAGCCGCGGUAAUACGUAGGUGGCAAGCGUUAUCCGGAAUUAUUGGGCGUAAAGCGCGCGUAGGCGGUUUUUUAAGUCUGAUGUGAAAGCCCACGGCUCAACCGUAGAGGGUCAUUGGAAACUGGAAAACUUGAGUGCAGAAGAGGAAAGUGGAAUUCCAUGUGUAGCGGUGAAAUGCGCAGAGAUAUGGAGGAACACCAGUGGGCGAAGGCGACUUUCUGGUCUGUAACUGACGCUGAUGUGCGAAAGCGUGGGGAUCAAACAGGAUUAGAUACCCUGGUAGUCCACGCCGUAAACGAUGAGUGCUAAGUGUUAGGGGGUUUCCGCCCCUUAGUGCUGCAGCUAACGCAUUAAGCACUCCGCCUGGGGAGUACGACCGCAAGGUUGAAACUCAAAGGAAUUGACGGGGACCCGCACAAGCGGUGGAGCAUGUGGUUUAAUUCGAAGCAACGCGAAGAACCUUACCAAAUCUUGACAUCCUUUGACAACUCUAGAGAUAGAGCUUUCCCCUUCGGGGGACAAAGUGACAGGUGGUGCAUGGUUGUCGUCAGCUCGUGUCGUGAGAUGUUGGGUUAAGUCCCGCAACGAGCGCAAUCCUUAAGCUUAGUUGCCAUCAUUAAGUUGGGCACUCUAAGUUGACUGCCGGUGACAAACCGGAGGAAGGUGGGGAUGACGUCAAACCAUCAUGCCCCUUAUGAUUUGGGCUACACACGUGCUACAAUGGACAAUACAAAGGGCAGCGAAACCGCGAGGUCAAGCAAAUCCCAUGAAGUUGUUCUCAGUUCGGAUUGUAGUCUGCAACUCGACUACAUGAAGCUGGAAUCGCUAGUAAUCGUAGAUCAGCAUGCUACGGUGAAUACGUUCCCGGGUCU